AAGUACAGAUUCAUUCCUAUAUGAGGAUUACAAUAAACACUGUAGUAUAUGUCACUUUCGUACUCUAUGGUUUAUGUUACAAUUGACAAGUUAGCAGAGCUGAUUAUACACAUUUCCAACAAUGAACAUGACGUUUUGAACUGUCAAUCCGCUAACAAAUUUCUUUUUAUCUAUACAAGCUACAAGGAAAGCAACGUAAACCGGACACCUCAAUUUGAUUUUCAAACAUUUAAAAUUAUCAGACACUCCAUUUAAAUUAUUCCUCUGAAUACAUUGGUAUACCAAACGAAAGAAUAUGGCCGAUGAUGAAAACCAGCCACCAGAUGACGCAGUAGUAGCAGAAAAUCCUGGU